rnacentral:rRNA from 1 species
AGAGUUUGAUCCUGGCUCAGAUUGAACGCUGGCUGCAGGCCUAACACAUGCAAGUCGAGCGGUAGAGAGAAGCUUGCUUCUCUUGAGAGCGGCGGACGGGUGAGUAAUGCCUAGGAAUCUGCCUGGUAGUGGGGGAUAACGUUCGGAAACGGACGCUAAUACCGCAUACGUCCUACGGGAGAAAGCAGGGGACCUUCGGGCCUUGCGCUAUCAGAUGAGCCUAGGUCGGAUUAGCUAGUUGGUGAGGUAAUGGCUCACCAAGGCGACGAUCCGUAACUGGUCUGAGAGGAUGAUCAGUCACACUGGAACUGAGACACGGUCCAGACUCCUGCGGGAGGCAGCAGUGGGGAAUAUUGGACAAUGGGCGAAAGCCUGAUCCAGCCAUGCCGCGUGUGUGAAGAAGGUCUUCGGAUUGUAAAGCACUUUAAGUUGGGAGGAAGGGCAGUAAAUUAAUACUUUGCUGUUUUGACGUUACCGACAGAAUAAGCACCGGCUAACUCUGUGCCAGCAGCCGCGGUAAUACAGAGGGUGCAAGCGUUAAUCGGAAUUACUGGGCGUAAAGCGCGCGUAGGUGGUUUGUUAAGUUGGAUGUGAAAUCCCCGGGCUCAACCUGGGAACUGCAUUCAAAACUGACUGACUAGAGUAUGGUAGAGGGUGGUGGAAUUUCCUGUGUAGCGGUGAAAUGCGUAGAUAUAGGAAGGAACACCAGUGGCGAAGGCGACCACCUGGACUAAUACUGACACUGAGGUGCGAAAGCGCGGGGAGCAAACAGGAUUAGAUACCCUGGUAGUCCACGCCGUAAACGAUGUCAACUAGCCGUUGGAAGCCUUGAGCUUUUAGUGGCGCAGCUAACGCAUUAAGUUGACCGCCUGGGGAGUACGGCCGCAAGGUUAAAACUCAAAUGAAUUGACGGGGGCCCGCACAAGCGGUGGAGCAUGUGGUUUAAUUCGAAGCAACGCGAAGAACCUUACCAGGCCUUGACAUCCAAUGAACUUUCUAGAGAUAGAUUGGUGCCUUCGGGAACAUUGAGACAGGUGCUGCAUGGCUGUCGUCAGCUCGUGUCGUGAGAUGUUGGGUUAAGUCCCGUAACGAGCGCAACCCUUGUCCUUAGUUACCAGCACGUAAUGGUGGGCACUCUAAGGAGACUGCCGGUGACAAACCGGAGGAAGGUGGGGAUGACGUCAAGUCAUCAUGGCCCUUACGGCCUGGGCUACACACGUGCUACAAUGGUCGGUACAGAGGGUUGCCAAGCCGCGAGGUGGAGCUAAUCCCAUAAAACCGAUCGUAGUCCGGAUCGCAGUCUGCAACUCGACUGCGUGAAGUCGGAAUCGCUAGUAAUCGCGAAUCAGAAUGUCGCGGUGAAUACGUUCCCGGGCCUCCACGGACCGCCCGUC